UACAGAGGUCCCAAGCGUUGUUCGGAUUUACUGGGCGUAAAGGGUGCGUAGGUGGCGGGGUAAGUCUGGUGUGAAAGCUUCGAGCUCAACUCGGAAAAGCAUUGGAAACUAUCCCGCUGGAGGGUCGGAGGGGAGACUGGAAUUCUCGGUGUAGCAGUGAAAUGCGUAGAUAUCGAGAGGAACACCAGUGGCGAAGGCGAGUCUCUGGGCCUUGCCUGACGCUGAGGCGCGAAAGCUAGGGGAGCGAACAGG
rnacentral:rRNA from 1 species